ensembl:lncRNA
AAUUUUUCAAUAAUUCAACACCUUCUAUUAUUCCUUACUUAUUAUGUAAGGGAUAAUGCACAGUCAGCUGGUGAUUACCGCAAAAUAAAACCCAUAAGGGUGAUCAUAUUAAAGAGGUUUAUUUUGCAAUAAUAACCAUAGAACUGCACAUUAUUCUGCUUAUUAUUCAGCUACUUAACAGUUAACAAAGUUGUCUAGUGCUUUACCGGGAUUCAGUUGUUGCUGGAAGCGGGUGCAGUUAAAGCCAUUUAAACCCUAUUAAUCAAGAUCUCUGUUUAUGUUCUCACAGCAUGUGGAGUGCGAUGUGUCCUGUCACCACGACCCUCCAACUGCUCCACAUCAUCACCCCAUAAAGACGAGAACGGCAGAGCUCAUUCCAUCUCUGCAGAAGAACAGAAAUGCAGUAGAGACUGUGUUGAAACAAAGACUGAACUGAAAGUAUGGGAUGAAUACACUUUGAUUAAAAGACGAGGGGAGAGAGAAAGAGCGAGGAGCAGUAUACACAGACAGAGAGUCCCGCUGGAUUUAAGCCACCGGCCUUCCACUGUCCCACUGGAGAAUCAGACGGGACGCCGAGCACUAAGCACACCAGCAGCUCAGAGGUACAUGAGAGGCAAGACGUCACAGAGGAAC